rnacentral:misc_RNA from 1 species
UUGAGUCACAGGUUUAAUGCUGUAAUGAUGGGAUGAUAUUCACUCCUAAUGUAUCUAUAGAUUAUGGCAUUAAAAUCCGUAAAAGAGAGGGGACGAGCUGCAGCUUGAAGUUCAUCUGCUAGAGUUUUUGCACAAUGUAGAUAUCAGACACUGGCAUAUCAUUUUUCUUUAACUCAUGUAAUUCAAUGUGAAUUUGUAGUUGCUGGUUCUGGAAAACUGAUCCAAAAGCCUUUGCUAAAG